CGUUAGCGGCGGACGGGUGAGUAACACGUGGGUAACCUACCUAUAAGACUGGAAUAACUCCGGGAAACCGGGGCUAAUGCCGGAUAACAUGUUGAACCGCAUGGUUCUCCAGUGAAAGACGGUCUUGCUGUCACUUAUAGAUGGACCCGCGCCGUAUUAGCUAUUUGGUGGGGUAACGGCCUACCAAGGCGACCAUACGUAGCCCACCUGAGAGGGUGAUCGGCCACACUGGAACUGAGACACGGUCCAGACUCCUACGGGAGGCAGCAGUAGGGAAUCUUCCGCAAUGGGCGAAAGCCUGACGGAGCAACGCCGCGUGAGUGAUGAAGGUCUUCGGAUCGUAAAGCUCUGUUGUUAGGGAAGAACAAAUGUGUAAGUAACUGUGCACAUCUUGACGGUACCUAACCAGAAAGCCACGGCUAACUACGUGCCAGCAGCCGCGGUAAUACGUAGGUGGCAAGCGUUAUCCGGAAUUAUUGGGCGUAAAGCGCGCGUAGGCGGUUUUUUAAGUCUGAUGUGAAAGCCCACGGCUCAACCGUGGAGGGUCAUUGGAAACUGGAAAACUUGAGUGCAGAAGAGGAAAGUGGAAUUCCAUGUGUAGCGGUGAAAUGCGCAGAGAUAUGGAGGAACACCAGUGGCGAAGGCGGCUUUCUGGUCUGCAACUGACGCUGAUGUGCGAAAACGUGGGGAUCAAACAGGAUUAGAUACCCUGGUAGUCCACGCCGUAAACGAUGAGUGCUAAGUGUUAGGGGGUUUCCGCCCCUUAGUGCUGCAGCUAACGCAUUAAGCACUCCGCCUGGGGAGUACGGUCGCAAGACUGAAACUCAAAGGAAUUGACGGGGACCCGCAC
rnacentral:rRNA from 1 species